rnacentral:lncRNA from 1 species
CAGGAAAUAAAGGGUAAACUUUCAAACUUAAACAUAUUCUAGCUCUGAAACUGUAAGUGAGAAUGUAAUGAUUAUUUUUCAGCAAGACAAAAAGUGUUGGCAAAGGAAAAAAACUGGUACUUCUUUGAGGGACUCCUGAAGUUUCAGAGGAAGGGUAGAAGCAAGCCCAGACUGACUGCUCCCCUUUCUCCUUCCAUGGUCAUAAGCAGACUACUGGACCCCAGUGAAUUAAUUGUCCUUCACUUGAGGGGUUGGGCUGUGUCAAUCUGGUUGAAUCUACCAAAGGAAAACUUUCUAAGAUGAGAAGAGACCAUGCUGCAGAUGGGGAAACAUAAUAAAAAUGAGGAAACUGAGGAAAUAGAGGUGGAAUUCAAAUUUUAGAGCCCGUAUUCUUUCUACUAUAUAGAGUAUCAAUCAAAGGUAGGUAAAUGCUGUUAAUA